GGAUCUAUAGUGUAGCGGUUAUCAUCCAGGUUUUCCAUACCUGGGACGGGGGUUCGACUCUCCCUGGAUUCA
rfam:Leucosporidium creatinivorum strain 62-1032 BCR35scaffold_95, whole genome shotgun sequence.